CGAGCGCAGGCGGUUAGAAAAGUCUGAAGUGAAAGGCAGUGGCUCAACCAUUGUAGGCUUUGGAAACUGUUUAACUUGAGUGCAGAAGGGGAGAGUGGAAUUCCAUGUGUAGCGGUGAAAUGCGUAGAUAUAUGGAGGAACACCGGUGGCGAAAGCGGCUCUCUGGUCUGUCACUGACGCUGAGGCUCGAAAGCGUGGGGAGCGAACAGGAUUAGAUACCCUGGUAGUCCACGCCGUAAACGAUGAGUGCUAGGUGUUGGGUCCUUUCCGGGGCUCAGUGCCGCAGCUAACGCAUUAAGCACUCCGCCUGGGGAGUACGACCGCAAGGUUGAAACUCAAAGGAAUUGACGGGGGCCCGCACAAGCGGUGGAGCAUGUGGUUUAAUUCGAAGCAACGCGAAGAACCUUACCAGGUCUUGACAUCCCAGUGACCACCCUAGAGAUAGGGUUUCCCUUCGGGGCACUGGUGACAGGUGGUGCAUGGUUGUCGUCAGCUCGUGUCGUGAGAUGUUGGGUUAAGUCCCGCAACGAGCGCAACCCUUAUUGUUAGUUGCCAUCAUUGAGUUGGGCACUCUAGCGAGACUGCCGGUAAUAAACCGGAGGAAGGUGGGGAUGACGUCAAAUCAUCAUGCCCCUUAUGACCUGGGCUACACACGUGCUACAAUGGCUGGUACAACGAGUCGCAAGCCGGUGACGGCAAGCUAAUCUCUGAAAGCCAGUCUCAGUUCGGAUUGUAGGCUGCAACUCGCCUACAUGAAGUCGGAAUCGCUAGUAAUCGCGGAUCAGCACGCCGCGGUGAAUACGUUCCCGGGCCUUGUACACACCGCCCGUCACACCACGAGAGUUUGUAACACCCGAAGUCGGUGAGGUAACCGUAAGGAGCCAGCCG
rnacentral:rRNA from 1 species